rnacentral:rRNA from 1 species
GAUGAACGCUGGCGGCGUGCCUAAUACAUGCAAGUCGAGCGAACGGACGAGAAGCUUGCUUCUCUGAUGUUAGCGGCGGACGGGAGUAACACGUGGAUAACCUACCUAUAAGACUGGGAUAACUUCGGGAAACCGGAGCUAAUACCGGAUAAUAUUUUGAACCGCAUGGUUCAAAAGUGAAAGACGGUCUUGCUGUCACUUAUAGAGGGAUCCGCGCUGCAUUAGCUAGUUGGUAAGGUAACGGCUUACCAAGGCAACGAUGCAUAGCCGGCCUGAGAGGGUGAUCGGCCACACUGGAACUGAGACACGGUCCAGACUCCUACGGGAGGCAGCAGUAGGGAAUCUUCCGCAAUGGGCGAAAGCCUGACGGAGCAACGCCGCGUGAGUGAUGAAGGUCUUCGGAUCGUAAAACUCUGUUAUUAGGGAAGAACAUAUGUGUAAGUAACUGUGCACAUCUUGACGGUACCUAAUCAGAAAGCCACGGCUAACUACGUG